rnacentral:hammerhead_ribozyme from 1 species
AUCCAGCUGACGAGUCUCAGACAGGACGAAACGCGCAUUCUAGAU